rnacentral:rRNA from 1 species
UACGGGGGGGGGCAAGCGUUGUUCGGAAUUACUGGGCGUAAAGGGCUCGUAGGUGGCCAACUAAGUCAGACGUGAAAUCCCUCGGCUUAACCGGGGAACUGCGUCUGAUACUGGAUGGCUUGAGUUUGGGAGAGGGACGCGGAAUUCCAGGUGUAGCGGUGAAAUGCGUAGAUAUCUGGAGGAACACCGGUGGCGAAGGCGGCAUCCUG